GAUGCAGACCAUUUAUGGAUUGUUUUAGAGCCCUAAAAGAAAAAAAUGCAACAGGAGCUGCUCUUUUUAGAGAGAAUUUAUUAUCUGCAUGCCAUCUGUCAUGGUCCUUUAAGAAAGGUGUCUGUCCUGCUUUCCUACUCAGAAACCCUAAACAUCCAAACUUCCAGACCAAUUUUCCCAGGUCUAAUGCUAAAGUUUCAAUAAUUUUACAAUUAUUUGUCAUGUCUGCUCACCUCUGGACACAUUAUGGGAGACAGCACUGAAAAUAAAACCCCCUUCCCUGACAGAUUUAUUGAUUUCUUAACUUGCACUCAUAUGAAACGCGAAGCAGCUAAAAAGGAUCUAUGAGCAGUAUAACUGUUUAACCUAAUUUCCUAAUAACAUAAAAUAUGGAGCAGUAAUGGAGCAACACCAUGGUGUCUCCUGGCAUGCAACAAACAAUUCAGAGUGCUGAGUAGCUAAAAUAUCCAGAGAAAGUUUCUGGAAGGCUUUGCUCUGAAGAUGUUCAGAUCAAUGUACUUCCCUCUACACAAGUAUCUUUUUCCUUAUAAACACGUAGGAAAUAAUGGGCAUAGGAUUUUCAGACAUACAGCGUGAAAAACGGGCAGGGUGUGAUUUACUAAAGAAAACUCAGGUCAAGAAGUUUUGCCACAAAUCCAAGAUGAGGGAAUUGAGAGUUAAAAACAUAUUCCAAAAGUUAUUUAUUCCAAAAGUUUUUACAUCUCAUGGCUCUGGAAUUCUGAUCCGUGCCUCGAACAAUGUCGUUCAGCAAUCAAGAGCAUUGCCAUAAUCUGAACUGUCACUUGAAAGAAAAUUUUUUAUCACUUCCAGCUCUCAAUUUUCAAACAAAGCCCUUUGUUUUCUUGAGAAAUUAUGUAUUUUAUACAGCAGAUAACACAUUCCUGUUUGGAAAGCAGAAAGAUAAUUCCUUUGGGGAUCUAAAGCUGUACAAUACACGAGUCCCCUGCAGCUGAAAGAGGAAAUAGAGACAGGCUGGCAUCGUGUUUGUACUAAACUGUGACAAAGGCAACCAAACCAUCAUCUCCACAACCUCCCAAAGUUAAUGAGGUUGUAGGUAAUUAUUCAAGACAAGGCUGGCCAAAUCGUUCCGUGUAAGGCACAGUAGGGACAGCACAGCCCACUUGUGGUUAUGCAUUGCACACAACGCUGUGACUGUGGAAACAUUUGGGCAAAAGAGAAUUUUUGGGGACCUGCACAUGGCUCCAGAGGGGCUUUUAAUCUGUAGAUACCAGGUAUAAAUACGGAAUGCCAUUAAUUCAGAUCUGGCUCAAUGCAAAAACAUGAAAAUGCAUUAUGGAUAGGUCACAGUGAUCAGAGUUCCAGGGGUCAGGGACAUGGAGAAACCCAAAGCAUAAGUAGUUGGAAAAGUGAGCGUGUUUAGUUCAGUUAAUCCUAAAGUUUGCACAGCAGCGGCUGAGAAGCGAUGUUCUCACAGUGGGUGAGCAAAGCUGCGGAGGGGGAACAGCACACGGAGAAGAGUGAAGGCAGCACCUCGGCCGGGGGAGCCGUGAGGGCGGACACCGCCACAGCUGCCCGUGUUCACGUUUACCACAAUUCCUUCACGUCUGAAGUCUCUGCUGAUCCAUCCCAGGCGCUUAUUUACGGAAAGCGGCGCUUCUG
ensembl:lncRNA